UACAGCUGCUCUCAUGGGCUGGUAUUGUUUGCCUCUGACUUUUCAUGGUGCAAAUCUCGAGCUGUAGCUGGAUCUACCAUUCUGGGGUCUGGAGGACAAUGAUCCUCUCCUCGUAGAUCUACUAUGCCAUGCCCCAGUAGGGCCCCUGUAUGGGGACUGUAAUCCCACAUUUCUUCUCUGCAUUGUUUUAAUAGAAAUUCUCCAUGAGGGCUCCACCACUGCAGCAUGUUUCUGCCUGAACUCCCAGGCUUUUGCAUAAUUUUUUGAAAUAAAGGUGGAGGCUUUCAAGUCUCAACUUUUGCAUUUUGUAAUAGGCUUAACAGCACAUGGAAGCUACCAAGGCUUGUGACUUAAACCCUCUGAAGAAGUGACUGGAGUUGUAACUGGGCCAAUCUGAGAUACUCCUGGAGCUGGAGCGGUGGCCAGGAUGCAGGAAGCCAUGUUCCAAGGCCUCCCAAGAGAGCUGUAAAGAAGACAUAGCCCUGGCAUAUGCUUCUGGGGAGGCCUCUGGAAGUCUACAAUCAUGGCAGAAGAUGAAGCAGAAUCUUGCACAUCACAGGACAAAAAGCAGGAGCAAAAAACAAAGGAGUGGCUAUCUUCAUUGAAAAUUUGUUCUCAAAAGCCUUGAAAUAGAACAUAGUUUUGGCAGCAACUUCAAAGUCAUUUGAGGAGAAGGGGAGAUUUAUAAUGAUAAUUCAAAUGAAGCAAACUAAAAAUUAAUGAAGCAAGACAGAGGAAAAAGCAACAUUUACCUGAGCACAAUCCAAAAGAAUAAAAUUUCAAAUGUAACUAGAAAAAAGUAUGCUGAAGAUCAUAUUACAGAAAUAAUUAUUAAUACUCAAAAUAGCUCUAAAGCCCUGCUCACUUUUUGAAUGCUGGAAAUUAACCAAGAGGGGCCUGUAACUCUAAGAUGGUUCCUUCAGUAAUGACCAUUUUCUUUUACAAGACGUUGAGUAUUCUCUACCUUCUAAGAGACCAGCAUUGCUCAUCAAUGCUGAGCAAUGGAAAGUGAAGGUGUUCAGUUUUGGUAAGUUCUUAGUGAAAUCCAUGACCUUUUUCUUCAUAUUCUGGACUCCCAAUGUGACUGAUGAAAGUUACAACAUGCUCUGCAGGGGGAAAUGCUUUAGCGUGUAUUACUAUAUUAUAAUCUCAUCUUUGUAGAGCCAGAAGCAUUUUGAAAGUCACAUCGUGAC